rnacentral:rRNA from 1 species
GGUGUAGUGGGAGAAAUAUGUAGAAACCAAGAUGGAGUUUUCUUAGGAGCUUCGGUGGUGGUGUUUUCCAAUCUAUCAGACCCAGGCACCCUUGAGACACUCGCUAUCAGGGAGGCAUUGGCGUUAGCAGAUGAUCUCUACGUCAGGAGGAUUCAUGUUGCUUCGGAUUGUAAGGUGGCCGUCGAUGAUAUCCAGCAUCAAUACAAAGGGAGAUACGAUGCAAUUGUGCAUGAAAUCAUACAACAUGAGUCUGCUUUUGAUACUUGUAAUAUCGUUCAUGAAUUUAGGAGCUUGAAUAUCGAGGCUCACAAACUUGCAAAGUAUGCGUUAUCUCUUGGAGUUGGCCGCCAUGCUUGGUUAGGCCAGCCCAACGAUCUUGAUUUCGUCCCUGUAAAUAUUGUGACAACCUAA